rnacentral:rRNA from 1 species
CGGAGGGUGCGAGCGUUAUCCGGAAUUACUGGGUUUAAAGGGUGCGUAGGCGGCCAUGUAAGUCAGGAGUGAAAGUCUGCGGCUCAACCGUAAAAUUGCUUUUGAUACUGCAUGGCUGGAAUCAGGAUGAGGUCAGCGGAAUGUGGCAUGUAGCGGUGAAAUGCAUAGAUAUGCCAUAGAACACCAAUUGCGUAGGCAGCUGGCUAGACCUGUAUUGACGCUGAGGCACGAAAGCGUGGGGAGCGAACAGGAUUAGAUACCCUGGUAGUCCACGCCCUAAACGAUGCUUACUCGACGUAUGAAGCUGGUCUUUGUGCGUCCAAGGGAAACCGUUAAGUAAGCCACCUGGGGAGUACGACCGCAAGGUUG